AUCGCUUCUCGGCCUUUUGGCUAAGAUCAAGUGUAGUACAGUCUAUACUUUCUUUGAAAUCAUGGAGAACUAUU
ensembl:snRNA U2 U2 spliceosomal RNA